UUUCGCAGAAGUAUAUCGAUCGGCUUCGGUGCUGACACGCAAAGCUGGCUGCUACGGCAUAUAUGAUUCGAGCAACAUUCCGGAUCCGCGCAAUCGAUGAGACCGUCUGGAAAGUACAUUAUGAUGCAAUUAGAAAAGCUCAUUUAUAACCGAGCUUGAUGAUCCAUAUGGCUGACGUAAAUAAUACCACACACCCAUCGUUUAAAGGGUAAUACGAAAAUGAAACGCGAAGGAACGAAGACGGAAUUCGUCCCGCAAAUCAUACAAUUUCGUCAUACUUCGAACGAAAUUAUUCUACUUUUUGAUUCGUGAAAAAAGUUCUGUUCGAGGAGCACGUUGCAAUCUUUGCCAUCCCAACCAUCGUAACACCUGCACUCCCACUGGCCAUCGUUGCUGACUCUGCAUUGUCCGUGCCCGGAACAGGAAUUUGGGCAACCUUCCAUGGUGCAGUGUUUUC